rnacentral:rRNA from 1 species
AUUGAACGCUGGCGGCAGGCCUAACACAUGCAAGUCGAGCGGAGCGGCGGACGGGUGCGUAAUGCCUAGGAAUCUGCUUGGUAGUGGGGGAUAACGUCCGGAAACGGGCGCUAAUACCGAAUACUAUCAGAUGAUCGUGGGUUGGAUUAGCUAGUUGGUGGGGUAAAGGCCUACUAAGGCGACGAGCCGUAACUGGUCUGAGAGGAUGAUCAGGCACACUGGAACUGAGACACGGUCCAGAGUCCUACGGGAGGAAGCAGUGGGGAAUAUUGGACAAGGUGCGAAAGCCUGAUCCAGCCAUGCCGCGUGUGUGAAGAAGGUCUUCGGAUUGUAAAGCACUUUAAGUGGGGAAGCGUUACCAACAGAAUAAGCACCGGCUAACUUCGUGCCAGCAGCCGCGGUAAUUC